GGGGAUUUAGCUCAGUGGUAGAGCACUUGCCUAGAAAGUGCAAGGCCCUGGGUUCGGUCCCCAGCUCCA
rnacentral:tRNA from 1 species